CCUGACGCAAAUUACCUGUGAAGAUCUCUUCUCUAUACUUCUUGUCGCCUAUCUCGAGAGUGAAAAAAUGAAGCAUUACAUGCCUAUUGUCAGUGAGAAGCCAACAAUUGAGCUUGUAGAGCUCACUUCAGACAUGAAAUUGUUUGAAGCUUACAACACGAUUCGUCUAGCACGUACAACGAAGAGACAUGCCGGUGCUAGAGCCAAGAGAGCUUCAAAAGCUUAGAAUGAAGAGAAGAAUUGACAAGUCUAUUCUUCUCAAUGUAGAAGAAACUUCUAUGAUUUUUAUCAUCGUUUAGAAUUGAUUUUAUGUAUCUGAUCUGACUUUUUCUUCAUCUUGGAUUUUUCUUUUUUAUUUAUCUGAUUCAGUCUUUAUGGA